UGAUUUCAACAGUAGCCUCCACUGCCUCCUUUUUGACAACUGCAUAUUUCAUCUCCACAGUGCCGAGCUUUCCCUCAAGAGUGUCGUUUUCAACCUCCAUUUUGAUCCCACGUGUACUUAAGAUGCCAUCAAUCCUAAGCGUUCCUCUGUUAAGUUCCUUUUUCUUCCCUCUUAAUCGGUCAUCUUUAAUUCUGAGAUCAACCUCAAAAUUUAUAUCAUCUAUUAACACAAGUCCACGAUUUGGGCCAGUCAAGAUCAAUGGAUCAUCCUGUGA
rnacentral:lncRNA from 1 species